rnacentral:tRNA from 1 species
GGGGAUAUAGCUCAGUUGGUAGAGCACUUGCCUAGCAUACAUGAGUCUCUGGGUUCUAGCCCUAGUAUUGCAU